rnacentral:rRNA from 1 species
CCUACGGGAGGCAGCAGUGGGGAAUCUUGCACAAUGGGGGAAACCCUGAUGCUGCGACGCCGCGUGAGUGAAGAAGUAUCUCGGUAUGUAAAGCUCUAUCAGUAGGGAAGCAAAUGACGGUACUUGUAUAAGAAGCGCCGGCUAACUACGUGCCAGCAGCAGCGGUAAUACGUAGGGGGCAAGCGUUAUCCGGAUUGACUGGAGGUAAAGGGAGCGUAGACGGCAGCACAAGUCUGGAGUGAAAGGCAGGGGCUCAACCCCGGAACUGCUCUGGAAACUGUGCGGCUAGAGUGCAGGAGAGGUAAGUGGAAUUCCUGGUGUAGCGGUGAAAUGCGUAGAUAUUAGGAGGAACACCAGUGGCGAAGGCGGGUUACUGGACUGUAACUGACGUUGAGGCUCGAAAGCGAGGGGAGCAAAAAGGAUUAGAUACCCCUGUAGUC